UACGGAAGGCAGCAGUGGGGAAUAUUGCACAAUGGGCGCAAGCCUGAUGCAGCCAUGCCGCGUGUAUGAAGAAGGCCUUCGGGUUGUAAAGUACUUUCAGUCGUGAGGAAGGUGUUAAGGUUAAUAACCUUAGCAAUUGACGUUAGCGACAGAAGAAGCACCGGCUAACUCCGUGCCAGCAGCCGCGGUAAUACGGAGGGUGCGAGCGUUAAUCGGAAUUACUGGGCGUAAAGGGCACGCAGGCGGUUAAUUAAGUUGGAUGUGAAAUCCCCGGGCUUAACCCGGGAAUGGCAUUCAAGACUGGUUAGCUAGAGUCUUGUAGAGGGGGUAGAAUUCCAUGUGUAGCGGUGAAAUGCGUAGAGAUGUGGAGGAAUACCGGUGGCGAAGGCGGCCCCUGGACAAAGACUGACGCUCAUGUGCGAAAGCGUGGGGAGCAAACAGGGAUUAGAUACC
rnacentral:rRNA from 1 species